UACGUAGGGUGCAAGCGUUUAAUCGGAAUUACUGGGCGUAAAGCGUGUGUAGGCGGACUGGUAAGUACCUUGUGAAAUCCCACGGCUCACCGUGGAACUGCUUGGUAUACUGCUUGUCUUGUGCAACCUAGGGGCGAGCGGAACAGAUGGUGGAGCGGUGAAAUGCGUAGAUAUCAUCUGGAACGCCAAUGGUGAAAACAGCUCGCUGGGGGUUUGCAGACGCUGAGACACGAAAGCCAGGGGAGCAAAGCGGGAUUAAGAUGACCCUAGUACGUCAGACC
rnacentral:rRNA from 1 species